rnacentral:rRNA from 1 species
UACGUAGGGGGCUAGCGUUGUCCGGAAUCAUUGGGCGUAAAGCGCGUGUAGGCGGCCCGGUAAGUCCGCUGUGAAAGUCGGGGGCUCAACCUCGGGACGUCGGCGGAAACCAUCUGGCUAGAGUCCGGAAGAGGAGAGUGGAAUUCCCGGUGUAGCGGUGAAAUGCGCAGAUAUCGGGAGGAACACCAGUGGCGAAGGCGACUACCUGGCCUGUUCUUGACGCUGAGGCGCGAAAGCUAGGGGAGCAAACGGG